rnacentral:snRNA from 1 species
CCGUUCGGCGGAAGCGUCGUU